rnacentral:rRNA from 1 species
AUUGAACGCUGGCGGCAGGCCUAACACAUGCAAGUCGAACGGUAACAGGAAGCAUCUUGCUGCUUUGCUGACGAGUGGCGGACGGGUGAGUAAUGUCUGGGAAACUGCCCGAUGGAGGGGGAUAACUACUGGAAACGGUAGCUAAUACCGCAUAACGUCGCAAGACCAAAGAGGGGGACCUUAGGGCCUCUUGCCAUCGGAUGUGCCCAGAUGGGAUUAGCUAGUAGGUGGGGUAACGGCUCACCUAGGCGACGAUCCCUAGCUGGUCUGAGAGGAUGACCAGCCACACUGGAACUGAGACACGGUCCAGACUCCUACGGGAGGCAGCAGUGGGGAAUAUUGCACAAUGGGCGCAAGCCUGAUGCAGCCAUGCCGCGUGUAUGAAGAAGGCCUUCGGGUUGUAAGGUACUUUCAGCGGGGAGGAAGGGAGUAAAGUUAAUACCUUUGCUCAUUGACGUUACCCGCAGAAGAAGCACCGGCUAACUCCGUG